rnacentral:misc_RNA from 1 species
AUAUAUAUCAACCUCUUUGUUAAGUGUUGGAUGUGGGGGUCCUUUUGCUGGUCUUCUCAGGUCAGCUCCCCUAAAAUACAUUAGCAGAACAACUGUUCAUUGGUGUGAUAACUAUCUAUGCUAUUGAUGCGAAGCUGCUAACAGUCCAUUGACUUGGACAUUAAUGAA